GGGUCAGUAGGUUGGUCGUGCCUAUGGUAUGUACUGGCUUUACUGAUUCCUCCUUCUUGAAGAACUGUAAUGUCAUUAAUUUGGUGUUGCAGGGAAACAGGACUGCUACUUUGAAAAAAUUAGAGUGUUUAAAGCAGGCUAACGCUUGAAUACAUUAGCAUGGAAUAAUGAAAUAGGACGUUCGUCCUAUUUUGCUUGGUUUUCGUUAGGAUUGACGUAAUGAUUAAUAGGGAUAGUUGGGC
rnacentral:rRNA from 1 species